rnacentral:miRNA from 1 species
UGGCAGUGUAUGUUAGCUGGU